CCAGGCGCCCGGCUUCCCCCGGCACCAGACUUCUGCUCGCCGUUCUCACAAGAUACAACGAGCAGGCGCCGCGAACGCGCCCCAGGUGACGUCAUCGCGCCGGGCCCAGGGGUCACGUGAUCCCGCGCGCGGCCUUCGGCGGACUGCGUAGUGACGUAGGCGCGGGCGUGCGCGGCAGAAGCCAUGGCUGGUGGAUGAGGCGUGUUUGUGCGGCCGCGGGCCGCUGCCGGGCAUCGUCGUCAUCCGAGGCCAUCGAGGGCCCCAGGUGGUACCUGCGCUCUGCUGAGGCCAGGUGAAGGCUUCCAGUGGACGCGGAUCCCUUCAGUCCAACUGCAGAGGCUGAGCACACCAGCCUCCACGCGGCUGCGUCUGGGGACACUUGCCCAUGAGUCUCUAGUUUCUGCAGUCCUCGGAGCGAGGUGCCGGCUGCCCUUUUGCCCAGAUUGCCUUUUCAAGGAUCUUCAAGUAGCAGACAGCCUUGAGAUGUGUGAGGUAGCGCCUCCCUCCAGAGCAGAAAGCAGCAUCUGUGAAACUGGAGUUUGUCUGCUGUCGGAUGGGAGCUAAAUCAGACCUUGACCUCCCCCAGCAGACUCUGCUCUGCGUCCCUGCCCUAGCGCAUAACAGGAAGUGCCUGCCACCCCCCAGUGUUUCAGAAAGCCCGGGAUGCCAGAACUAGAAGAGACCUGAGAGAGGAUCCCUUUGGUGGCUGUCAGGCUGUCCAUGGAAUCUGCAGUGGUAUGUAUGCAGGAAGGGUCGGGCCUAACAAGUCACUUCGCUUCUGUUUUAUAUGUUAGUUUUCCGUGAAUCCCCUGGCCAAGAAGUUUAAAACCAUUGACUUAUUCUGACCCUCCCUUAUUAUAGGUCAGAUGAUUGAGUCCCAGAAAGGUUAAUUGCCUUCAAGCCCACAAGACUACAUUGUGGACAGGCAGUUUUCCAGUGUCUGGAUUGUGGGGCUUUGAUUCUUUGGCAUUUGGUUGCCUUUGUGGUUUUGGGUUCGACGCGCCACGUUUUCCCCAGGAAUCUCCUCGGUCAGUGAUGUGCUGGCCUAGAAAGGGCAGGCUGCUGCGAAGUCUCAUCACAGAGGCCUCCUCAACUGAAGGUGGAGUCAGGAGUGGGAACCCAAGUUCAGUUCUGUUAUUGCCACUCAGUGGCAAUUGGCAUUUGUAAUAAUCCCUGGCUAUGUGUUUACGUCACUCAUUUUUCACAGCAGGCCUCUGAGGUGUUUCCAAUUUCCUCAUUUUUCCGGAGUUGUGGCCUGUCUACGCUGACGCACCUAAUAAGGUUGCAGCAGAAUUUGAACCAGGCCUUUGCACUUGGGUUCUCUGAGCAACUUCAACGCCUCCCUUACUCCCCUGCUAGGAAGAGUCAGGAAUUUCCGGUUCUGGGCCCAGGCUGGGGUGUGGGUGGCUCGGGGCCUGGGGUGUGUGUCUGACUGACAUUCUCUGACCCCAGGUGUGGGCGCUGUAUCUGCCUCCAGAACAAGAAUCCUCGCUGUGCGGCUGACCCCGUGGCUGAGUUGUUAAGUUCGUGCUCUCCACUGCAGGCAGCCCAGUGUUUCGUUGGUUCGAAUCCUGGGCGUGAACGUGGCACUGCUCAUCAAACCACGCUGAGGCAGCGUCCCACAUGCCACAACUAGAAGGACCCACAACGAAGAAUAUACAACUAUGUACCGGGGGGGUUUUGGGGAGAAAAAAAGAAAAAUAAAAUCUUUAAAAAAAUUAAUAAUUAAAAAAAAAAAAGAAUCCUCGCUGUGCAUCAGGACCCAGGUCUCUCUGACAUCUCCUGAAUAAGGAGAAAGACAUAUGUAAUAAACAGUUUUAAAUGUGUGAUUUAGUCUAGCCUCUGUUUCUUUCUCCUUUCCAUAUGUUAGAUACAAAGAGGAAGAAGACCUUGCCAUGCUUGAAUGAGUUUCAUCUGAGUCCAAGGGAGCCCCAGGGUGUCUGACAUUGUCAGUGCGUGUGCCUUUGUAAACUGCAGAGUGGGUGAUGGGG
rnacentral:lncRNA from 1 species